UACAGAGGGUGCAAGCGUUAAUCGGAAUUACUGGGCGUAAAGGGCGCGUAGGCGGUUAUGUAAGUGAGAUGUGAAAUCCCUGGGCUUAACCUAGGAAUGGCAUCUCAUACUGUGUGACUAGAGUAUUGUAGAGGGUAGUGGAAUUUCCGGUGUAGCGGUGAAAUGCGUAGAGAUCGGAAGGAACACCAGUGGCGAAGGCGGCUACCUGGACAAAUACUGACGCUGAUGCGCGAGAGCGUGGGGAGCAAACAGG
rnacentral:rRNA from 1 species